CAAUAUAUGGGGGAAAGGCGUGAUUGCUGUGGCCUGUGACUCAGAGAAAGCAGUAACUGCUGAGGAAAUGAAGACACUUCUGGGACGUUUGCCCUAAUAGGAUCCUCUGAACAAGUCUGCAGAAAAAAGGACAGGAAUCUGGAGAGUCAGAUCAACACUUGUUUUGAUUUUUAAGUGAGGAAAAAGAAGAAAGUUGGUUCUGG
rnacentral:lncRNA from 1 species